rnacentral:tRNA from 1 species
CGGGGUGUAGCUCAGCUUGGCUAGAGCGCCUGCUUUGGGAGCAGGAGGCCGUAGGUCCGAAUCCUAUCACCCCGA